UCCAUGCAAUGAUGUAAUUAUUAAUUAUGGGUUAAGAAUUUCUUGAAAAAUCUUUUCUAAUGCCUGGGAUUAAAUAGGAAUUAACGAUUUUGGUGAAAAAAUCAACAUUUUUCCAGCGGGCAAUGUACAAACAAGGCCCAUUUUUUCUUUUUUAUUCUCUACAGUUUUAAUAACCCUGAAUGCAGUUUUUAAAUUUAAUAUGUUUUCUUUAUCAAAGCAUACCAAAAGGCAAAAAAUUUAAGAUUUCUUUUUUAGAGUUAUUAUGGAAUACCUAAUCAUAACCAUUGAUUCAUCAUCUGAGCCCCCCGAGAAUGAGGAAAAUGGGGCUCGGAUUAAAUAUAUAAACGUACAUUUUUAUGUUAACAAAGAUAGGUUAACGGUUGUUUAACGUACAUAAUGUUAUUUUUUGAUGAAUAUAUGUUAGUACUGAAUAGUAA